GCAUGUGUGUGUGUUACCACCUCUAUUCUAGUCUCUGUUCAGUGUUUCCUGUUUGUGCUGCAGAGAAAAACUCUCAGAGCCUCUGUCAUGUAGCGUACACAACGAGGAAGAGGAGGUAUUUCCUGCUUCCAUCCAGCUGCAGGAUGGAGGGAACAUGUGUCCAGAUGCUGCUGGCUCUGAUCUCACUGCUGUGCUGCACAACAAACGGAG